GCAAAAGGUGGAUCUGGAGGGAGCAGGAAAAGUCUUGGUCAAGAGCAAUCUUUUCAGAUGUCUCAGAAAGUAGUAGCUCGAAUGUUGAUGAGUUUGGGGUUUGAGGGUGCCACAGAAGUUCCAUUGGAGGUUUUCUCCCAGUUCUUGAGUUGCCAUAUCUGUAAACUUGGUAGCACUUUGAGAGUACUGGCUGAUAGUUACAGAAAGCAGUGUUCAGCCGUGGAUUUACUCAGGAUGUUCCUUAAAACGAUGGGAUAUAG
rnacentral:misc_RNA from 1 species